rnacentral:rRNA from 1 species
GAUGAACGCUGGCGGCGUGCCUAAUACAUGCAAGUCGAGCGAACAGACGAGGAGCUUGCUCCUCUGACGUUAGCGGCGGACGGGUGAGUAACACGUGGAUAACCUACCUAUAAGACUGGGAUAACUUCGGGAAACCGGAGCUAAUACCGGAUAAUAUAUUGAACCGCAUGGUUCAAUAGUGAAAGACGGUUUUGCUGUCACUUAUAGAUGGAUCCGCGCCGCAUUAGCUAGUUGGUAAGGUAACGGCUUACCAAGGCAACGAUGCGUAGCCGACCUGAGAGGGUGAUCGGCCACACGGGAACUGAGACACGGUCCAGACUCCUACGGGAGGCAGCAGUAGGGAAUCUUCCGCAAUGGGCGAAAGCCUGACGGAGCAACGCCGCGUGAGUGAUGAAGGUCUUAGGAUCGUAAAACUCUGUUAUUAGGGAAGAACAAAUGUGUAAGUAACUAUGCACGUCUUGACGGUACCUAAUCAGAAAGCCACGGCUAACUACGUG